UACGUAGGGGGCUAGCGUUGUCCGGAAUCAUUGGGCGUAAAGAGCGCGUAGGCGGCCAGAUAAGUCCGGUGUGAAAGUCAAAGGCUCAACCUUUGAAUGCCGCUGGAAACUGUCUGGCUAGAGUCCGGGAGGGGCGAGUGGAAUUCCUGGUGUAGCGGUGAAAUGCGCAGAUAUCAGGAGGAACACCGGUGGCGAAGGCGGAUCUCUGGGCAGUUCCUGACGCUGAGGCACGAAGGCCAGGGGAGCAAACGGG
rnacentral:rRNA from 1 species